AGUGGCGAACGGGUGAGUAAUAUAUCGGAACGUAUCCAAUAAUGGGGGAUAACUAAUCGAAAGGUUAGCUAAUACCGCAUACGCCCUACGGGGGAAAGCAGGGGAUCUUCGGACCUUGCGUUAAUGGAGCGGCUGAUAUCUGAUUAGCUAGUAGGUGAGGUAAAGGCUCACCUAGGCUUCGAUCAGUAGCUGGUCUGAGAGGACGACCAGCCACACUGGAACUGAGACACGGUCCAGACUCCUACGGGAGGCAGCAGUGGGGAAUUUUGGACAAUGGGCGCAAGCCUGAUCCAGCCAUUCCGCGUGAGUGAAGAAGGCCUUCGGGUUGUAAAGCUCUUUCGCAAGGGAAGAAACGAUACCGACGAAUAAUCGGUGUUAAUGACGGUACCUUGAUAAGAAGCACCGGCUAACUACGUGCCAGCAGCCGCGGUAAUACGUAGGGUGCGAGCGUUAAUCGGAAUUACUGGGCGUAAAGCGUGCGCAGGCGGUUUUGUAAGUCAGAUGUGAAAUCCCCGGGCUCAACCUGGGAACUGCGUUUGAAACUACAAGGCUAGAGUAUGGUAGAGGGGGGUAGAAUUCCACGUGUAGCAGUGAAAUGCGUAGAGAUGUGGAGGAAUACCAAUGGCGAAGGCAGCCCCCUGGACUAAUACUGACGCUCAUGCACGAAAGCGUGGGGAGCAAACAGGAUUAGAUACCCUGG
rnacentral:rRNA from 1 species